GCCUGAGUUGUAAUUUGGAGAGGCAAAUUUGUGAUGGCACCGGUCUAGGUUCCUUGGAACAGGACAACAUAGAGGGUGAGAAUCCCGUACCUGGCUGGACCGCUAUCGCUCUGAUAAAUUGUCUUCGACGAGUCGAGUUGUUUGGGAAUGCAGCUCAAAAUGGGUGGUAAAUGUCAUCUAAAGCUAAAUAUUGGCGAGAGACCGAUAGCGCACAAGUAGAGUGAUCGAAAGAUGAAAAGCACUUUGAAAAGAGAGUCAAAAAGUACGUGAAAUUGCUGAAAGGGAAGCGCUUGAGACCAGACUCGAGCCGUGGUGAUCAGCCGUGCUUCUGGACGGUGUCACUCGCCACGGUUUGGGCCAGCAUCGGUUCUGGCGGCCGGAUAAAAGGUGGGGGAAUGUAGCUUCCUUCGGGGAGUGUUAUAGCCCUCAUCACAAUGCGGCCAGCUGGGACUGAGGACCGCGCUUCAUGGCUAGGAUGCUGGCGUAAUGGUCUUAAGCGACCCGUCUUGAAACACGGACCAAGGAGUCUAACAUCUAUGCGAGUGUUCGGGUGGAAAACCCUUGCGCGUAAUGAAAGUGAAUGGAGGUGGGAACCCGUCAGGGUGCACCAUCGACCGAUCCCGAUGUUCUCGGAAGGAUUUGAGUAGGAGCAUAGCUGUUGGGACCCGAAAGAUGGUGAACUAUGCCUGAAUAGGGUGAAGCCAGAGGAAACUCUGGUGGAGGCUCGCAGCGGUUCUGACGUGCAAAUCGAUCGUCAAAUUUGGG
rnacentral:rRNA from 1 species